AGUUCUUUAUACAAUUAGCUUUAAAUAAACACUUUCAUACGAAUUUUUAUAGAAACCAAACGCCCAAUUGUACUACCAAAAAUUAAUUGAAACAACAAAUAUCGAUGCGACUACGGACAUGUUGCGAUGCAAGGUCCGGUACUGGAAGCAUAUGUAUAUUAAAGCUGAGGAGUGGCGCAAAUCGACGGGUGCUGGUAUAGACGUUGGCGAUGAUGUUUCCCCAAUAAAAGCAAAACUUUCACAAAUGUGUCCGAAUUAUGAACGGUUUUCGAUUCUAUUUGUGAGUAAAUCCGAAGCCAAUUGUGUCGUACAACCCUGAAGUGUCACAAUACUGCAGCGAUUUUGCAGACCUUGUAGAGGUAGUAGAAAUUCCAGCCGAAUCAUCACAAUCAUCUGCGGAACCAUCGAGUUCACUAAACUACAAAGCAGAACAGACAAUAGUAGGAGUAGAGGUAGCAACAGUUCCUCCUAUCACUCCGUCGUUCCUCGAAAAAGUGAAAAAACGUGCUCCAAAAAAUAUUCUUAGUGAACUUAAAGAUAUACAAAAGAAAAUAGAACAGUUUUUUGAGCAACGAAUAGAAAUUGAAAAAGAAAAGUUAAAUUUGGAAAAGUUAAAGCUAGAAUUGGACAGAGAAAAGUUAAAUAAAGAUUUUGAAAUAAAAAAAUUGGAGUUAGAGCAAAAAGAAAGACUGGCAAUGAUUGAACUAAAGUGCAAAUAUAAUAUGUAACAAUUUUA